GAAGGAUUAGUUAACAAUAUAACAUCAGAAUGUCAAACUGAAAUAAUCAAUAUAAGAUAUCCUUCU
rnacentral:tRNA from 1 species